GUCGACCGCCUGGGGAGUACGGCCGCAAGGUUAAAACUCAAAUGAAUUGACGGGGGCCCGCACAAGCGGUGGAGCAUGUGGUUUAAUUCGAUGCAACGCGAAGAACCUUACCUACCCUUGACAUCUUCGGAAGCCGAGAGAGAUCUUGGUGUGCCUUCGGGAACCGAAAGACAGGUGCUGCAUGGCUGUCGUCGGCUCGUGUUGUGAAAUGCUGGGUUAAGUCCCGUAACGAGCGCAACCCCUGUCCCUAUUUGCCAGCGAUUCGGUCGGGAACUCUAGGGAGACUGCCGGCGACAAACCGGAGGAAGGUGGGGACGAUGUCAAGUCAUCAUGGCCCUUACGGGUAGGGCUACACACGUGCUACAAUGGCAGGUACAAAGGGUUGCAAGACGGCGACGUGGAGCUAAUCCCAUAAAGCCUGCCUCAGUCCGGAUCGGAGUCUGCAACUCGACUCCGUGAAGUCGGAAUCGCUAGUAAUCGUGCAUCAGAAUGGCACGGUGAAUACGUUCCCGGGCCUUGUACACACCGCCCGUCACACCAUGGGAGUGGACUGCACCAGAAGUGGUUAGCCUAACUUCGGAGGGCGAUCACCACGGUGUGGUUCAUGACUGGGGUGAAGUCGUAACAAGGUAGCCGUA
rnacentral:rRNA from 1 species